rnacentral:SRP_RNA from 2 species
GCUGGGCAUGGUGGUGUGUGCCUGUAAUCCCAGCUACUCAGGAGGCUGAGGCAGGAGAAUCGCUUGAACCCAGGAGGCGGAGGUUGCAGUGAGCCGAGAUCAUGCCAGUGCACUCCAGCCUGGGUGACAGAGCGAGACUCUGUCUCAA